rnacentral:rRNA from 1 species
AACGAACGCUGGCGGCAGGCCUAACACAUGCAAGUCGAGCGAGGACUUCGGUCCUAGCGGCGGACGGGUGAGUAACGCGUGGGAACGUGCCCUUUGCUUCGGAAUAGCCCUGGGAAACUGGGAGUAAUACCGGAUGAGCCCUUUGGGGGAAAGAUUUAUCGGCGAAGGAUCGGCCCGCGUUGGAUUAGGUAGUUGGUGGGGUAAUGGCCUACCAAGCCGACGAUCCAUAGCUGGUUCGAGAGGAUGAUCAGCCACACUGGGACUGAGACACGGCCCAGACUCCUACGGGAGGCAGCAGUGGGGAAUCUUAGACAAUGGGGGAAACCCUGAUCUAGCCAUGCCGCGUGAGCGAUGAAGGCCUUAGGGUUGUAAAGCUCUUUCAGCUGGGAAGAUAAUGACGGUACCAGCAGAAGAAGCCCCGGCUAACUCCGUG